GAUGAACGCUGGCGGCGUGCCUAACACAUGCAAGUCAACGGUGACGAGAGCUUCGGGCUCUCUGAUCAGUGGCGGACGGGUGAGUAACACGUGAGCAACCUGCCUAUCAGAGGGGGGACAACAGUUGGAAACGACUGCUAAUACCGCAUAACAUCAUCGGAAGGCAUCUUCUGAUGAUCAAAGAUUUAUCGCUGAUAGAUGGGCUCGCGUCUGAUUAGAUAGUUGGUGGGGGGUAGCGGCCCACCAAGUCGACGAUCGGUAGCCGGACUGAGAGGUUGAACGGGCCACAUUGGAACUGAGAUACGGUCCAGACUCCUACGGGAGGCAGCAGUGGGGAAUAUUGGGCAAUGGGCGAAAGCCUGACCCAGCGACGCCGCGUGAGGGAAGAAGAUCUUCGGAUUGUAAACCUUAGUCAACAGGGAAGAAGAAAGUGACGGUACCUGUGGAGGAAGCCACGGCUAACUACGUG
rnacentral:rRNA from 1 species